UUGCGAACGAUUUAUACCAGAGUGUGAUGCAUUGUAAAAUGUUCGCAAAAAUAAUUAUUUGUUUCCUGAUCAUUGAGUGUUCAGCGGGAAAAAAGUGAGCAAAAUACAGAUGGGGACUUAUGUCAUAUUGUCUGCCCUGCCGUAGUAGGACUUAGUAUGUGGUUCGGAUGGAAGAACAUACAGCAAUUUUUGUCAGCUUCAUGCACAUCGGACUUGCCAUGAACAAUCUCUGAUAGCUUCCCACCCAGGACCCUGUAGCAGAUAGACUCUAUGGUCGGAUUGUUAUUGUCAACUGAUUCGUCAAUGCGACACAUUUCAUAA
rnacentral:lncRNA from 1 species